UCCACGGUAACAUCUUCCAUUGUCAACUGGCCUUCAAAGAUGCCGGUGGACCUCUCACAAGGGAGAUCUCUAUUGCUCUACUGAGCGAACCAUUGUCUGUGUCCUCCAGAAGUACAGAGUCAGGUGAUAGGUUUUCAGGUCUUAUGUGGCUGUGUGGAGAUCUGACCCUGGCUAUCAGCCUAUGAACAACAAGUUGAGUAGAAGAGGAUCUUAAGAAGACCAAGCUUCAUUCUGUGAGGCACUUGCUGCGGAAGUAGCAGUAGGCGACGCAGGCGAGCUCUGGUCAGGAAGCAAGGCGAAUGACAGAGGCCUGGAGUGAAGGGG